rnacentral:lncRNA from 1 species
AGUAUAACAGGAUUUCCUCUCUGCAGUAUCUUUUGCUCACUUUCUCCUCUGAUCUUUAGGAGAGGAUGAUGUGCAGCUACAUCACAGCUGAUCCCUGACUUGUAUCUGUCUCUACAGUAAUGGGACUCCACAACGAAGCUAGUAGCGUUCCCUAAAACAGCCACUCCACACCAUGACUGCUUUGUGUGGACUGAAAUAAUCCUUGCUUGCCGUCUCAGCUGAAAACAUUUGAUGUGCCUCUCUAUAUUCCAUAUCUCUGCAGUGCAUAUGUUGUAAAGUUCCAAAAGCCUAACACAGGAAGUGUCCUAUGCAACAUGCCUUUUUUAAGAUUUGAUUCAGCCUAAAUGAAGUCAAACAUCUCCAGAAGAAUCUAGAAACAGAAUCUGUGUUUAUCUCCAUCCUCAGAAGACUGAAGACUUUAAGACAGUAGGAUCUUG